rnacentral:rRNA from 1 species
UAGGGAAUCUUCCGCAAUGGGCGAAAGCCUGACGGAGCAACGCCGCGUGAGUGAUGAAGGUCUUCGGAUCGUAAAACUCUGUUAUUAGGGAAGAACAAAUGUGUAAGUAACUAUGCACGUCUUGACGGUACCUAAUCAGAAAGCCACGGCUAACUACGUGCCAGCAGCCGCGGUAAUACGUAGGUGGCAAGCGUUAUCCGGAAUUAUUGGGCGUAAAGCGCGCGUAGGCGGUUUUUUAAGUCUGAUGUGAAAGCCAACGGCUCAACCGUGGAGGGUCAUUGGAAGCUGGAAAACUGGAGUGCAGAAGGGGAAAGUGGAAUUCCAUGUGUAGCGGUGAAAUGCGCAGAGAUAUGGAGGAACACCAGUGGCGAAGGCGACUUUCUGGUCUGUAACUGACGCUGAUGUGCGAAAGCGUGGGGAUCAAACAGG